rnacentral:rRNA from 1 species
AUCACUUGCCCUUAAUUGUGGGCUAGAAUGAAAGGACCAACGAAAUAAAUACUGUCUCUACAAGUAAAAUAAAAAUUAACCUCUAACUGAAGAAUGUUAGAUGUCGUCGAAGGACAAGAAGACCCUAUAGAGCUUCAUUUAAUAAAAGAGUUCGCUACUUUUAUAUAAUUCGGUUGGGGCGACCAGGGAAAUAAUAAAUCAUCCCUUACUAAUAGAUAAAUAAAUCUCUCCAAUGACCCUUAAAAAAGAUCGCAAAAACAAGCUACCUUAGGGAUAACAGGCUAAUUCUAUUAAAGAGUCCUUAUCAAUAAUAGGGUUUGGCACCUCGAUGUUGGCUUAGGGAAUCUAUACGGCGCAAAAGUCAUAUAAAGAUGGUUUGUUCAACCAGUAAUACCCUACAUGAGCUGAGUUCAGACCGGCGUAAGCCAGGUUAGUUUCUAUCCUCGACAAAACAAUCAAUUUAUAGUACGAAAGGACCUAAAUAUGAAUAAUAAUUAUAAAUCAAGAAUACAUAUAACUGUACAAUUAAAAUAUUAAUACAUAAACUAUGUUAAUAGGUUGGCAGAAUAGUGCCACCGACUUAGAAUCGGUUCAUGGGCAAUGCCCACUUAUUAUGCAAUUUAGUUUAAUUAGAACAGUCAACUUGCACUUGACAAGUGAGGAAACUCAAUAGCGGUUUGAUGUUUUGGAAACACUGGACC